rnacentral:rRNA from 1 species
CCGUAGCGGUUCUGACGUGCAAAUCGAUCGUCUGACUCGGGUAUAGGGGCGAAAGACUAAUCGAACCAUCUGGUAGCUGGUUCCCUCCGAAGUUUCCCUCAGGAUAGCUGGCACUCGAGACGCAGUUUUUUCCGGUAAAGCGAAUGAUUAGAGGCCUCGGGGACGAAACGACCUCGACCUAUUCUCAAACUUUCAACGGGUCAGAAGGCCGGCUCGCUCGAUUUGGAGCCGGCC